CGAAUUUUGAUAUUUUUUUUGCAGCUCUUUUGGUAAAUAUAUUUAUUUUGACUCCAAUAUUGAUAAUCAAAGGGACCAAAAUAAAAAGAACGGAAAUUGCCGGAAUACAUGGACAUUUUAUUCGGUGAUGGAUUCAAUUUUUGAGAAAAAAGCUUUUGUAAUGCCGCCUGCAAUUGCAUCGAGCGAAGGUCCACUUAAAGCUGUGAAUGUGGCAGAAUCACUCUCAUUGCAUUCUAUUUCACGCAAAAACCGGAAAGUUGAGACUGUUUUGGAGACUUUCAUUAAAGAUAUAAAACAAAAUAGUGAUAGCUAAACAAGAAGAAGAGAAAAAAGAACGUAAGAAGUUAAAAGAACAGCGGCACGCCGAGUGUAAGGAAG